UGCCGCAAAUGUAAAUAUUUUAGCCUCAGUUCAGUUUUGGUUAGUCACACUGAUCAUCCUGAAAGGCUGUUAUGUAGUGUUAGCUAGCAGAGAUGCUCCGGAAUGCUGAGGUGUAAAUGCUAGCUAAAUUACUGCCUUAAUGUAACAUGUUCCAUUAUUUUCUUAGCCGUAACUGUCUGAGAUGCAUUAUGGUCUAUAGCUCAACAACAAACAUUUCUGUCCUAUUGCCCAUCAACAAAUAGGCCUAUAGGAUAAACAAUGCAUGCUAACACACAUAUUGUUCAGGUGUAUUCAUCAGCCUAAAAGAUAUUGUUUGGUUACUUUAAGGAAUGUGGCUGCAUCACCCUUGCCUUCACUGGAAACUCACAACAGGCCAUGCAGGCGUCGCUCCAUUUUGAGUUCGACUGAGAAUCAUCCUGAAUGUGAUCAGGCACCUGCUCCAAAAAGGGCAAAGGCAGCACACACAGUCCACCAUGUCAUGGAGGAUCAGACAGAUAAUGACACAGUUCCACAGACUCUGCGAUUCCUGCCCACACGUGAACAUGGACCUCAACUGUGAAGUGGAUGGACACAUGAGAGCUCUCAUUGUGUUCCACAAUUCAUUCUGCAUAUACAGGAGACACUGUGCAGAGGAGGGUGAAAUUACAAGAUAAAAGGGAAACAGACAUUUUCAUGCACUGCACUAGUAACUGCAUACAACCAGCACAUGGGGGCAUUGACCUGUCUGAUCAACUGUUACAAUACUACACAGCAGAAAACAAUGAAGUGGUACUGAAAGAUUUUUCUACACUUCUUGGACAUCGCUGCCACCAACCGUUUUAUUGUGCAUAAAGAACUGUAUGGUAACGUGUCCCAUAAACAAUUUAUGGAACAACUUAUUGCUGAGCUUUGUAGUGUCACACAAAGUAGUGCCAAAACGGACCAACUCUGAUCAUAUACCAAUUCCAGGAUCUGAACUGUCCUCUGUCAGAAAUGUUGCCACUGCCAGCUGCAAGAGCUGUGUACAUUGCAAAACAGUGCAUGGUAAGCAUCACAAAACACCAUGAAAAUGCCUGGCAUGCGAUGUUCACCUGUGUCUUCAGGUGAACAGGAACUGCUUCCAAGAGUGGCAUAGGGAUUUCUGAUGCAAACAAAACUGUACUACUGUAUUGUGGUGUUUUUGUUGUAAUUCCCUUUUUAAUGCUGUCCUUGCUAAUGUGUAUUUUAAAUAAACCACAAAGGAAACACA